UUUGCCGUUUAAACAAAGUGGAAUGAAACGCACGCACACAAGUCCAAAUCUACACAAAACACGCAAUCAAUUAGUAAGCUCACAGCGAAUAUAUAUAUAUGGCAUUUAGGAAACCUUUAUUGCAACGUUGGCACGGCAAUAUGUCCAGACUAGUACAACAUUAAUUUUCAUCUUUUAC